rnacentral:rRNA from 1 species
AUACGGAGGGGGCUAGCGUUGUUCGGAAUUACUGGGCGUAAAGCGCACGUAGGCGGAUUAAAAAGUUAGAGGUGAAAUCCCAGGGCUUAACCCUGGAACUGCCUUUAAAACUAGUAGUCUAGAGUUCGUGAGAGGUGAGUGGAAUUCCAAGUGUAGAGGUGAAAUUCGUAGAUAUUUGGAGGAACACCAGUGGCGAAGGCGGCUCACUGGCUCGAUACUGACGCUGAGGUGCGAAAGCGUGGGGAGCAAACAGGAUUAGAAACCCCAGUAGUCC